AAAAAAAAAAAUCCUUAAUGUGAGUUUGGCAGUUUGUGUCUUCUUUUCGUGAUUGGGCGUGACAUUUCAUGCAGGUUAAGAGUGCCUGUUUGGAUUGAGACAGUAUUCUGGAUAUUGUUGCAGUUUGGAGAUUUGCUGGGAGGUUUGCUUGGACUUUGUCUCAUGGGGCAUUUAAGUGCUGUAAAGUGAGGUCUUGUUCAUUUCUGGAACAUGUAGCGGUUUGGAUAAUUGGUGGUAAAUUUGAUUGAAGCUUGUCUUCAGGCUUCAAGGGCUAUCUAGUGAGGGGCCUGAACUUGUAAAUUUGUUGUCUCCUAGGGAUGAAAAUUUCGAGAGGGGAGUGAAUGAAUCUCUGAGUUACUUUGCUUAUUUCAGUUUCCCAGUUCACCUCUUUGUUUAAUAAGUACCCUCACAAGGAAAUGCGUG
rnacentral:misc_RNA from 1 species